rnacentral:rRNA from 1 species
UAAGGUCACGGCAAGACGAGCCGUUUACGUUUAUUACCACGAUAGGUGCUAAGUGGAGGUACAGUGAUGUAUGCAGCUGAGGCAUCCUAACAGACCGAUAGGUUUGAAC